rnacentral:rRNA from 1 species
GAUGAACGCUGGCGGCGUGCCUAAUACAUGCAAGUCGAGCGAACAGACGAGGAGCUUGCUCCUCUGACGUUAGCAGCGGACGGGUGAGUAACACGUGGAUAACCUACUUAUAAGACUGGGAUAACUUCGGGAAACCGGAGCUAAUACCGGAUAAUAUAUUGAACCACAUGGUUCAAUAGUGAAAGACGGUUUUGCUGUCACUUAUAGAUGUAUCCGCGCCGCAUUAGUUAUUUGGUAAGUUAACGGCUUACCAAGGCAACGAUGCGUAGCCGCCCUGAGAGGGGGAUCGGCACCACUGGACCUGAGCCACGGUCCAGACUCCUACGGGAGGCAGCAGUAGGGAAUCUUCCGCAAUGGGCGAAAGCUUGCCGGAGCAACGCCGCGUGAGUGAUGAAGGUCUUCGGAUCUUAAAACUCUGUUAUUAGGGAAGAACAAAUGUGUAAGUAACUAUGCACGUCUUGACGGUACCUAAUCAGAAAGCCACGGCUAACUACGUG